GUAAAUCUAUCUGUGCAGAAAUAGUAAAUCUUUUGAAAUUUGUUGGGCACUUGAACGAUUUAAUUGUUCUGUAGACCAAUGAACUGUGCCUAACUGAAUUUCAGUCCUUAUAUGUUGCAAAAAGUAGCUCAUAACUGUUUUCUGAUUUCUGAACACACAGGCUUAUAAUUGUUUUGCGUAACUGAACAUCCUAUAUUAUCACUGCAACAAUGAAAGGAGCAUAGUUCUGGAGUGCCACUUGAUUUAUAAACUGGUACCUGCAGAAGUGCAGAUCCCCGGGAAGUUCCGGGGAUUUUGUCCCUUGAACGCUAUUUAGUUUAACCACCAUCAAACACAGUUCCUAAUUGUUGGGACAGGAGCAUGGACAUGGAGGAGACAGCGCGCCGCCGGCGGUCGUCGAUCGUCACUGCCUACGGACCAGCCCCGACCUGCCUGACCGCUGCGAUGCAUGGCCUGCCCACUGCCCUUGCUCUGCCGACAUCUCCUCCAUUCCUGCCCGAGCCUCCCUCGUUGCUGGGAAAACGUCUUUAGCAUC
rnacentral:lncRNA from 1 species